UACGGGGGGGGCAAGCGUUGUUCGGAAUUACUGGGCGUAAAGGGCUCGUAGGUGGCCAACUAAGUCAGACGUGAAAUCCCUCAGCUUAACUGGGGAACUGCGUCUGAUACUGGAUGGCUUGAGGACUGGAGAGGAGACUGGAAUUUACGGUGUAGCAGUGAAAUGCGUAGAGAUCGUAAGGAAGACCAGUGGCGAAGGCGGGUCUCUGGACAGUUCCUGACACUGAGGCACGAAGGCCAGGGGAGCAAACGGG
rnacentral:rRNA from 1 species